AGAGAUGUAGCUCAGUGGUAGAGCACUUGCCUAGCAAAUUUGAGGUCCUGCGUUCCGUCUCUA
rnacentral:tRNA from 1 species